rnacentral:rRNA from 1 species
UACGUAGGUGGCAAGCGUUGUCCGGAUUUACUGGGCGUAAAGGAUGCGUAGGCGGACAUUUAAGUCAGAUGUGAAAUACCCGAGCUUAACUUGGGUGCUGCAUUUGAAACUGGGUGUCUAGAGUGCAGGAGAGGUAAGUGGAAUUCCUAGUGUAGCGGUGAAAUGCGUAGAGAUUAGGAAGAACACCAGUGGCGGAAGGCGACUUACUGGACUGUAACUGACGCUGAGGCAUGAAAGCGUGGGGAGCGAACAGG